GAAGGUUCCUUACAAGACUGCAAACAUCAGAAGGUUCAGAAAGUCUCCAGGGAUCAGGGUGGCACUCCUUGACUGAUGAGCACCCCCAGGGACCACAGACACCCAGAGCCUGCACAGACUCUCCUUCACUGAGAAGUACAGCUUGGAUGUCCCCACAGACUAAAGGAAAACUCGUGACUGUCUGAGCCAGCCAGGACACAGCUUUGACCCAACUGGCCAAAGAAUCAAAACAAUCCUCAGCAGAAUCCAACUGACAGAUCCCCUCGGGUGAACAAUCUCCAUAACACAUUCCACACGUGCCAAACAGCAGCAGCAGUGAACAGAGGAAAGCCUCCAUAACAUGAGCCAGAGGGACUUCUCUCCCUGGGGGACCUGAGGAAAGACUGUUCUGAAUCUGGCAAACUGACUGAAAUUUUGGUUCUUUGUAUUUUCUAUAUGAAAGAAAAGAUUGUGGAAAGAGGAGAAGUGUUCUGAAGCAGCUAAACCAUGUGAAAUAGCAGAAGAACUUUGGUCAUUGGAGACAAGUUGGCUGUAAGAACCCCGACUCAGUUUCACUCUACUUUCACAGUUGUUUCGUGCCAAAACCAGAAGAAAAAUUAAUAGGAAACUUUAAUUUAAAUCAUAAUUUUACGUUGCUUAAAGUUAAUUUAAUA